GGUGAUAUAGUUUAAGGGAAAACAAUUAUCUCAUGCGUAAUAAGAUAGAGGUUCAAAUCCUCUUUUCACCU
rnacentral:tRNA from 1 species